AUCACAGGCUCAACCUAUUGUUAGCUGGAUCUUGGAAGUGCAAUUGUGAAUGAAGCCAUUCUAACAGGCGAAUGUACUCCACAGUGGAAGAAUUCAAUUGCUGGACUAGGUGGUGAGGAUAAAUUGUCUGCAAAGAGAGAUAAAAACCAUAUCCAGUUUGGCGGAACGAAGAUAUUACAGCACACUUCAGAUAAGUUAUUUCAUCUGA